rnacentral:rRNA from 1 species
GCCCAGCUUGCUGGGUGGAUCAGUGGCGAACGGGUGAGUAACACGUGAGCAAUCUGCCCCUGACUCUGGGAUAAGCGCUGGAAACGGCGUCUAAUACUGGAUACGAACCGUGGAGGCAUCUUCAACGGUUGGAAAGAUUUUUUGGUCAGGGAUGAGCUCGCGGCCUAUCAGCUUGUUGGUGAGGUAAUGGCUCACCAAGGCGUCGACGGGUAGCCGGCCUGAGAGGGUGACCGGCCACACUGGGACUGAGACACGGCCCAGACUCCUACGGGAGGCAGCAGUGGGGAAUAUUGCACAAUGGGCGAAAGCCUGAUGCAGCAACGCCGCGUGAGGGAUGACGGCCUUCGGGUUGUAAACCUCUUUUAGCAGGGAAGAAGCGAAAGUGACGGUACCUGCAGAAAAAGCGCCGGCUAACUACGUGCCAGCAGCCGCGGUAAUACGUAGGGCGCAAGCGUUAUCCGGAAUUAUUGGGCGUAAAGAGCUCGUAGGCGGUUUGUCGCGUCUGCUGUGAAAUCCCGAGGCUCAACUUCGGGUCUGCAGUGGGUACGGGCAGACUAGAGUGCGGUAGGGGAGAUUGGAAUUCCUGGUGUAGCGGUGGAAUGCGCAGAUAUCAGGAGGAACACCGAUGGCGAAGGCAGAUCUCUGGGCCGUAACUGACGCUGAGGAGCGAAAGGGUGGGGAGCAAACAGGCUUAGAUACCCUGGUAGUCCACCCCGUAAACGUUGGGAACUAGUUGUGGGGUCCAUUCCACGGAUUCCGUGACGCAGCUAACGCAUUAAGUUCCCCGCCUGGGGAGUACGGCCGCAAGGCUAAAACUCAAAGGAAUUGACGGGGACCCGCACAAGCGGCGGAGCAUGCGGAUUAAUUCGAUGCAACGCGAAGAACCUUACCAAGGCUUGACAUAUACGAGAACGCUGCAGAAAUGUAGAACUCUUUGGACACUCGUAAACAGGUGGUGCAUGGUUGUCGUCAGCUCGUGUCGUGAGAUGUUGGGUUAAGUCCCGCAACGAGCGCAACCCUCGUUCUAUGUUGCCAGCACGUAAUGGUGGGAACUCAUGGGAUACUGCCGGGGUCAACUCGGAGGAAGGUGGGGAUGACGUCAAAUCAUCAUGCCCCUUAUGUCUUGGGCUUCACGCAUGCUACAAUGGCCGGUACAAAGGGCUGCAAUACCGUGAGGUGGAGCGAAUCCCAAAAAGCCGGUCCCAGUUCGGAUUGAGGUCUGCAACUCGACCUCAUGAAGUCGGAGUCGCUAGUAAUCGCAGAUCAGCAACGCUGCGGUGAAUACGUUCCCGGGUCUUGUACACACCGCCCGUCAAGUCAUGAAAGUCGGUAACACCUGAAGCCGGUGGCCCAACCCUU